rnacentral:rRNA from 1 species
UGAUCCGGUGCUUGCACCGGGGAUUAGUGGCGAACGGGUGAGUAACACGUGAGUAACCUGCCCUUGACUCUGGGAUAAGCCUGGGAAACCGGGUCUAAUACCGGAUACGACCUGUCACCGCAUGGUGGCGGGUGGAAAGAUUUUUUGGUUUUGGAUGGACUCGCGGCCUAUCAGCUUGUUGGUGAGGUAAUGGCUCACCAAGGCGACGACGGGUAGCCGGCCUGAGAGGGUGACCGGCCACACUGGGACUGAGACACGGCCCAGACUCCUACGGGAGGCAGCAGUGGGGAAUAUUGCACAAUGGGCGAAAGCCUGAUGCAGCGACGCCGCGUGAGGGAUGACGGCCUUCGGGUUGUAAACCUCUUUCAGCAGGGAAGAAGCGAAAGUGACGGUACCUGCAGAAGAAGCGCCGGCUAACUACGUGCCAGCAGCCGCGGUAAUACGUAGGGCGCAAGCGUUGUCCGGAAUUAUUGGGCGUAAAGAGCUCGUAGGCGGUUUGUCGCGUCUGCUGUGAAAGCCCGGGGCUCAACCCCGGGUCUGCAGUGGGUACGGGCAGACUAGAGUGCAGUAGGGGAGACUGGAAUUCCUGGUGUAGCGGUGAAAUGCGCAGAUAUCAGGAGGAACACCGAUGGCGAAGGCAGGUCUCUGGGCUGUAACUGACGCUGAGGAGCGAAAGCAUGGGGAGCGAACAGGAUUAGAUACCCUGGUAGUCCAUGCCGUAAACGUUGGGCACUAGGUGUGGGGGACAUUCCACGUUUUCCGCGCCGUAGCUAACGCAUUAAGUGCCCCGCCUGGGGAGUACGGCCGCAAGGCUAAAACUCAAAGGAAUUGACGGGGGGCCCGCACAAGCGGCGGAGCAUGCGGAUUAAUU